rnacentral:rRNA from 1 species
UGGUAGCAAUACUGGGCUGACCUAGUGGCGAACGGGUGCGUAACACGUGACCAACCUGCCUGAAAGUGGGGGAUAGCUCGGCGAAAGCCGGAUUAAUACCGCAUGUGAUCGCAAGAUUAAAGCAGCAAUGCGCUUUUAGAGGGGGUCGCGGCCUAUCAGCUAGUUGGUGAGGUAAAGGCUUACCAAGGCAGCGACGGGUAGCUGGUCUGAGAGGACGACCAGCCACACUGGAACUGAGACACGGUCCAGACACCUACGGGUGGCAGCAGUCGAGAAUUUUUCUCAAUGGGGGAAACCCUGAAGGAGCGACGCCGCGUGGAGGAUGAAGGCUUUCGGGUUGUAAACUCCUGUCAUCUGGGAACAAAACUCGCAAGAGCUUGGUAGUACCAGAAGAGGAAGAGACGGCUAACUCUGUGCCAGCAGCCGCGGUAAUACAGAGGUCUCAAGCGUUGUUCGGAUUCAUUGGGCGUAAAGGGCGCGUAGGCGGUGGGGUAAGUCUGGUGUGAAAUCUCGGAGCUCAACUUCGAAAUUGCACUGGAUACUGCUCUGCUAGAGGGCUGGAGAGGAGAUCGGAAUUCACGGUGUAGCA